rnacentral:tRNA from 1 species
GGAGACAUGCUUCAAUGGUAGAAUGCCUGACUAGAAAGCAUAAGAACCUGAAUUCAAAUCCCAGUAUUACCA